CUGAGUGAGGGCCCUCUGGGUCCAACCUCCCACCCGUGUUUAUUGUACCUUGUUGCUUUGGCGGGCCCGCCUUUAUGGCCGCCGGGGGGCUUACGCUCCCGGGCCCGCGCCCGCCGAAGACACCCUCGAACUCUGUCUGAAGAUUGUAGUCUGAGUGAAAUUAUAAAUUAUUUA
rnacentral:misc_RNA from 1 species